rnacentral:rRNA from 1 species
UACGUAGGGUGCGAGCGUUAAUCGGGAUUACUGGGCGUAAAGGGUGCGCAGGCGGUUUUGUAAGCCAGAUGUGGAAUCCCCGGGCUCAACCUGGGAAUGGCAUUUGGGACUGCAAGGCUAGAGUGUGGCAGAGGAGACUGGAAUUCCCGGUGUAGCAGUGAAAUGCGUAGAUAUCGGGAGGAAUACCGAUGGCGAAGGCAGGUCUCUGGGCUGACACUGACGCUCAUGCACGAAAGCGUGGGGAGCAAACAGG